rnacentral:rRNA from 1 species
UACGGAGGGAGCUAGCGUUGCUCGGAAUCACUGGGCGUAAAGGGUGCGUAGGCGGGUCUUUUAAGUCAGGGGUGAAAUCCUGGAGCUCAACUCCAGAACUGCCUUUGAUACUGAAGAUCUUGAGUUCGGGAGAGGUGAGUGGAACUGCGAGUGUAGAGGUGAAAUUCGUAGAUAUUCGCAAGAACACCAGUGGCGAAGGCGGCUCACUGGCCCGAUACUGACGCUGAGGCACGAAAGCGUGGGGAGCAAACAGGG